CACGUAGUUAGCCGUGGCUUCCUCGUAAGAUACCAUCACUUAAUGAUCAUUUCCUAUCAUUACCGUUUUCUCUUACAACAGAGCUUUACGACCCGAAGGCCUUCUUCACUCACGCGGCAUUGCUCGUUCAGGGUUUCCCCCAUUGACGAAAAUUCCCUACUGCUGCCUCCCGUAGGAGCUUGGGCCGUGUCUCAGUCCCAAUGUGGCCGUCUACCCUCUCAGGCCGGCUACGUAUCAUCGCUUUGGUGGGCCGUUACCCCGCCAACUGGCUAAUACGCCGCAGGUCCAUCCAUGUCCGCACCCGAAGGUCCUUUAAUAUAGCCAAGAUGCCUUGUCUAUACCUAUCCGGUUUUAGCAGACGUUUCCAUCUGUUAUCCCGGGUACAUGGGCAGGUUCCCUACGUGUUACUCACCCGUUCGCCACUAAGUCUGUCAAAAGCAAGCUUUCAACAGUCUUCGUUCGACUUGCAUGUAUUAGGCAUGCCGCAGCGUUCAUCCUGAGCCAGGAUCAAACU
rnacentral:rRNA from 1 species